CGAACGCAAUCGCCCUUCGGGGCAAUGAUUGAGUGGCGAACGGGUGAGUAACACGUAGGAAACCUACCCAUAAGACGAGGAUAACUACUGGAAACGGUAGCUAAUACUGGAUAGUCUAUUUUAUCGCAUGAUGAAAUAGUUAAAGGAGCGUAUGCUUCACUUAUGGAUGGUCCUGCGGCGCAUUAGCUAGUUGGUAAGGUAACGGCUUACCAAGGCGACGAUGCGUAGCUGAGCUGAGAGGCUGAUCAGCCACACUGGGACUGAGACACGGCCCAGACUCCUACGGGAGGCAGCAGUAGGGAAUUUUCGGCAAUGGGGGAAACCCUGACCGAGCAAUGCCGCGUGAAUGAAGAAGGUCUUCGGAUCGUAAAAUUCUGUUGUUAGGGAAGAAUAGUAGAUAUAGGAAAUGAUAUCUAUGUGACGGUACCUAACCAGAAAGCUCCGGCUAACUACGUGCCAGCAGCCGCGGUAAUACGUAGGGAGCGAGCGUUAUCCGGAAUUAUUGGGCGUAAAGCGUGUGUAGGCGGUUUAUUAAGUCUGAUGUGAAAUCCCCCGGCUCAACCGGGGAGGGUCAUUGGAAACUGGUAAACUUGAGUACGGUAGAGGCAAGUGGAAUUCCAUGUGUAGCGGUAAAAUGCGUAGAUAUAUGGAGGAACACCAGUGGCGAAGGCGGCUUGCUGGGCCGGAACUGACGCUGAGACACGAAAGCGUGGGGAGCAAACAGGAUUAGAUACCCUGGUAGUCCACGCCGUAAACGAUGGGUACUAAGUGUUGGCAGAGAUGUCAGUGCUGUAGUUAACGCAUUAAGUACCCCGCCUGGGGAGUACGGUCGCAAGACUGAAACUCAAAGGAAUUGACGGGUCUCCGCACAAGCGGUGGAGCAUGUGGUUUAAUUCGAAGAUACGCGAAGAACCUUACCAGGUCUUGACAUCCCCUUGACCGCUCUAGAGAUAGAGCUUCUCUUCGGAGCAGGGGUGACAGGUGGUGCAUGGUUGUCGUCAGCUCGUGUCGUGAGAUGUUGGGUUAAGUCCCGCAACGAGCGCAACCCCUAUUACUAGUUGCCAGCAUUAAGUUGGGGACUCUAGUGAGACUGCCAGUGAUAAACUGGAGGAAGGUGGGGAUGACGUCAAAUCAUCAUGCCCCUUAUGACCUGGGCUACACACGUGCUACAAUGGCUAUUACAAAGGGAAGCGAAACCGCGAGGUGAAGCAAACCCCAUAAAGGUAGUCUCAGUUCGGAUUGUAGUCUGCAACUCGACUACAUGAAGUUGGAAUCGCUAGUAAUCGCGAAUCAGAAUGUCGCGGUGAAUACGUUCUCGGAGAUUGUACACACCGCCCGUCAUACCACGAGAGUUUGUAACACCCGAAACCGGUGGCCUAACCGCAAGGAGGGAGCCGUCUAAGGUGGAUG
rnacentral:rRNA from 1 species